rnacentral:rRNA from 1 species
CAGCCGUAAACAAUGUGCGUUAGGUGUGUCGGUAACCACGUGUUACUGAUGCGCCGAAGAGAAAUCGUGAAACGCACCACCUGGGAAGUACGGUCGCAAGGCUGAAACUUAAAGGAAUUGGCGGGGGAGCACCACAACAGGUGGAGCCUGCGGUUUAAUUGGACUCAACGCCGGGAAGCUCACCGGAUAAGACAGCGGAAUGAUUGCCGGGCUGAAGACUCUGCAUGACUAGCUGAGAGGUGGUGCAUGGCGUAGACGUCU